AAAGACACCGAGUGACUGUUGCGGCUCCGGACCCGCCCUCACAGCCACGGCACGGCGAGCCCCCGCACCGAGAACGUCCACCCUUGGACACCUCCAGCCAGAUCCUCCCUUAACUCUACCCCCGUGUGAGCCUUCUCAUCUGCUAACCUUCCUGCUGAAAUUCUGGAACAUGUUAAGGAGGCAUUGCAAAAAAACCCACUCCUCAACCUAGAGGUUUUCUUGGCUUCAUAGAUAAUAAUCUCUAUAAUAAUCUUCAACUCUCUGUAACUUUCUCCUUCCUGCCCAGGAUGGACUUCUCCUUUUCUUAAAGCUUCAGGAAAAAAAAAAA